rnacentral:rRNA from 1 species
UUAAAUUGAAGAGUUUGAUCAUGGCUCAGAUUGAACGCUGGCGGCAGGCCUAACACAUGCAAGUCGAACGGUAACAGGAAGAAGCUUGCUUCUUUGCUGACGAGUGGCGGACGGGUGAGUAAUGUCUGGGAAACUGCCUGAUGGAGGGGGAUAACUACUGGAAACGGUAGCUAAUACCGCA